GAUGAACGCUGGCGGCGUGCUUAACACAUGCAAGUCGAACGAUGAUCCGGUGCUUGCACCGGGGAUUAGUGGCGAACGGGUGAGUAACACGUGAGUAACCUGCCCUUUAACUCUGGGAUAAGCCUGGGAAACUGGGUCUAAUACCGGAUAUGACUCCUCAUCGCAUGGUGGGGGGUGGAAAGCUUUUUGUGGUUUUGGAUGGACUCGCGGCCUAUCAGCUUGUUGGUGAGGUAAUGGCUCACCAAGGCGACGACGGGUAGCCGGCCUGAGAGGGUGACCGGCCACACUGGGACUGAGACACGGCCCAGACUCCUACGGGAGGCUGCAGUGGGGAAUAUUGCACAAUGGGCGCAAGCCUGAUGCAGCGACGCCGCGUGAGGGAUGACGGCCUUCGGGUUGUAAACCUCUUUCAGUAGGGAAGAAGCGAAAGUGACGGUACCUGCAGAAGAAGCGCCGGCUAACUACGUGCCAGCAGCCGCGGUAAUACGUAGGGCGCAAGCGUUAUCCGGAAUUAUUGGGCGUAAAGAGCUCGUAGGCGGUUUGUCGCGUCUGCCGUGAAAGUCCGGGGCUCAACUCCGGAUCUGCGGUGGGUACGGGCAGACUAGAGUGAUGUAGGGGAGACUGGAAUUCCUGGUGUAGCGGUGAAAUGCGCAGAUAUCAGGAGGAACACCGAUGGCGAAGGCAGGUCUCUGGGCAUUAACUGACGCUGAGGAGCGAAAGCAUGGGGAGCGAACAGGAUUAGAUACCCUGGUAGUCCAUGCCGUAAACGUUGGGCACUAGGUGUGGGGGACAUUCCACGUUUUCCGCGCCGUAGCUAACGCAUUAAGUGCCCCGCCUGGGGAGUACGGCCGCAAGGCUAAA
rnacentral:rRNA from 1 species